rnacentral:rRNA from 1 species
UACAGAGGUCUCAAGCGUUGUUCGGAUUCAUUGGGCGUAAAGGGUGCGUAGGCGGCGCGGUAAGUCGGGUGUGAAAUCUCGGAGCUUAACUCCGAAACUGCCUUUGAUACUGAAGAUCUUGAGUCCGGGAGAGGUGAGUGGAACUGCGAGUGUAGAGGUGAAAUUCGUAGAUAUUCGCAAGAACACCAGUGGCGAAGGCGGCUCACUGGCCCGGUACUGACGCUGAGGCACGAAAGCGUGGGGAGCAAACAGG